rnacentral:rRNA from 1 species
GUUGUGCCCUUGAGGCGUGGCUUCCGGAGCUAACGCGUUAAGUAGACCGCCUGGGGAGUACGGCCGCAAGGUUAAAACUCAAAUGAAUUGACGGGGGCCCGCACAAGCGGUGGAGCAUGUGGUUUAAUUCGAUGCAACGCGAAGAACCUUACCUGGUCUUGACAUCCACAGAACUUUCCAGAGAUGGAUUGGUGCCUUCGGGAACUGUGAGACAGGUGCUGCAUGGCUGUCGUCAGCUCGUGUUGUGAAAUGUUGGGUUAAGUCCCGCAACGAGCGCAACCCUUAUCCUUUGUUGCCAGCGAUUAGGUCGGGAACUCAAAGGAGACUGCCAGUGAUAAACUGGAGGAAGGUGGGGAUGACGUCAAGUCAUCAUGGCCCUUACGACCAGGGCUACACACGUGCUACAAUGGCGCAUACAAAGAGAAGCGACCUCGCGAGAGCAAGCGGACCUCAUAAAGUGCGUCGUAGUCCGGAUUGGAGUCUGCAACUCGACUCCAUGAAGUCGGAAUCGCUAGUAAUCGUGGAUCAGAAUGCCACGGUGAAUACGUUCCCGGGCCUUGUACACACCGCCCGUCACACCAUGGGAGUGGGUUGCAAAAGAAGUAGGUAGCUUAACCUUCGGGAGGGCGCUUACCACUUUGUGAUUCAUGACUGGGGUGAAGUCGUAACAAGGUAACCGUAGGGGAACCUGCGGUUG